ACCACCGCUUUCGCCUUUUUCUCUCUCUCUGACAGUCUAGAGAGAGAAAAUUUCAGACCAUUUCUGAAGGGGGAGGACUCGGCUCUCUUUUGUAUCUUUGUUUUUUCAACCAUGGCGGGUUUAAGCUAGCCUAGGUUUUUGUGACGGUCGCCGAUUCUCGAAGCUACAAUCCCGAUGGAAAUGCCCGCUAGGAGAUCGAACUACACGCUUCUGAGUCGGCUCCCCGACGAUCAGUUCACGGCGGCGUCGUUUUACGAGGCGGAGGCGAAGAAUAAUAACAACAACAAGCCCAAGGUGGACAGCAGAGCCUUUGAUUGGGAGUCCGGAGGAGGAGACUACAGGGCGGCGGCGGCCAAUCCGGCGUCGAAUCGGAUCGGGAGCGUGUUCUCGUCCGUCGGAUUGCAGCGGCAGUCGAGCGGCAGCAGCUUCGGGGGGAGCUCGCUGUCCGGUGAGUACUACGCGCCGACUCUGUCUACCACGGCGGCGAAUGAGAUUGACGGAUUCGGCUACGCGGACGGCGGCGGUGGCGGCGAGUUUAGAGGGAAAGUAGGGAUGGAUGGGGCGGUGGUGGGGCCUACGGGAGGCUCAUCUUCAGGGAAGAGCUGGGCGCAGCAGACGGAGGAGAGUUAUCAGCUGCAGCUGGCUUUGGCUCUACGGCUCUCGUCGGAGGCAACUUGCGCCGAUGAUCCUAAUUUCUUGGAUCCAGUGCCGGAUGAGUCUUCGUCGACGAGGUCAUCGAGCUCGGCCGAUGCCGUUUCGCAUCGAUUUUGGGUGAAUGGUUGUCUGUCAUACUAUGACAAAGUGCCUGACGGGUUCUACCUUAUUCAUGGGAUAAAUUCCUAUGUAUGGUCUAUGUGCACUGAUAUGCAAGAGACUAGUCGUAUACCAUCAAUUGAAUCACUAAGAUCUGUUGAUCCUGGAACCGGAUCUUCUAUAGAAGUGACCUUAAUCGAUCGACGUAGUGAUCCCAGCUUAAAGGAACUUCAAAAUAGGGUCCUCAGCAUUUCUUGUGCUUGCAUAACCACGACAGAGAUUGUUGAUCAGCUGGCAAAGCUUGUAUGCAGCCGCAUGGGGGGUUCAGCAAAUGUAGGAGAGGCUGAAUUUUUCUCUAUAUGGAGGGAGAGCAGUGAUGAUCUGAAAGAUUGCUUAGGAUCUGUAGUUGUUCCAAUAGGCAGCCUUUCUAUUGGCCUAUGUAGACAUCGUGCUUUACUAUUCAAGGUACUAGCUGACACAAUUGACCUUCCGUGCCGAAUUGCCAAAGGAUGUAAAUAUUGCUCACAAGAUGAUGCAUCCUCUUGUCUUGUUCGUUUUGGUAUUGAAAGGGAGUUGUUAGUUGAUUUGAUUGGGAAUCCAGGAUGCUUAAGUGAUCCUGAUUCCUUGGUAAAUGGUCCAUCAUCCAUCUCAAUUUCUUCACCGCUGCGGCUUCCAAGAAUUAGAACAGUUGAACCUGCCACUGAUUUCAGGUCACUGGCCAAACAAUAUUUCUCGGAUUGUCAGAUGCUUAAUCUUGUAUUCGAUGAAGCCGUGGCAGGAAGUGCUGGAAAUGAGGACAACAAGGUUUUCUCUAUGCAUCCUAAGCAAAAGUUUACAGACGGAAACACCCCUUAUCUGGCUUCAAGUCUCGAUGAUGACACUUCCCUACAUGUUGAUGAUCGGAAUCCCCAGUUGCUUAAACCAUUUAAUCCAUCUCAGAACAUUGUCCACCAAAGAACAAGGUUAAACGAUCAAAAUCCCCUAAACCGUAUACCACCUGUAGGACAUAGAGAUAUUUCAAGGUUGGAUACAAGUGAUGACUCGAGGUUUGUUGAGGGACUUCAAAUGGUUCCUAGUAGACCAAAUAAAGAGCUGACACUUGAUGUGGAUGAUUUGGACAUUCCAUGGAGUGACCUUGUACUGAAGGAGAGAAUUGGUGCAGGUUCUUUUGGAACUGUUCAUCGUGCUGAUUGGCAUGGCUCUGAUGUUGCUGUAAAGAUUCUUAUGGAGCAGGAAUUUCAUGCCGAACGCUUUAGAGAGUUCUUAAGGGAGGUUACAAUAAUGAAACGCUUGCGGCAUCCAAAUAUUGUGCUGUUUAUGGGGGCAGUUACAAAGCCGCCAAACUUGUCCAUAGUCACAGAAUAUCUAUCAAGGGGAAGCUUGUAUAGACUGUUGCAUAAACCUGGGCCAGUGCUGGAUGAGAGGCGUCGGUUGAAUAUGGCUCACGAUGUGGCAAAGGGGAUGAAUUACCUUCAUAGGCGGAAUCCUCCCAUUGUUCAUCGAGAUUUAAAAUCUCCAAACCUUUUGGUUGACAAAAAAUAUACUGUGAAGGUUUGUGAUUUUGGUCUUUCCCGUUUAAAGGCGAACACCUUUCUUUCAUCAAAAUCAGCUGCAGGGACUCCUGAAUGGAUGGCACCAGAAGUUCUGCGUGAUGAACCAUCAAAUGAGAAGUCAGAUGUUUACAGUUUUGGUGUAAUAUUGUGGGAACUUGCGACAUUGCAACAGCCCUGGGGUAAUUUAAAUCCAGCGCAGGUUGUGGCAGCAGUUGGUUUUAAGAACAAAAGGCUUGAAAUUCCACGUGAUUUGAAUCCUCAAGUAGCUUUGAUAAUUGAGGCUUGUUGGGCCAAUGAACCCUGGAAACGACCUUCAUUCGCUAGUAUCAUGGAGUCUUUGAGGCCAUUGAUUAAAGCUCCCACACCUCAACCUGGGCAUGCAGACAUGCCGAUACUCACCUAAAUGGGUUAAAACUCGAGAAGAGUCUUAUUCAUGCACAUAAUACAGCAUUCUUUUAGAGUUGACGCCUGGCAAGAUUACAUGCUGUUCAUUGUCCGGAGUCAUUGUACAUUACUGUUCUUAUCGCCAAUUGAGAAUACUGAUUCUUUAUGCAAACCAAGGAACUAAAGUGCCAAUGGUGUCUGCAUUGCUAUCCCUACUGAAAAUCCCUUCCAAAAUGAUCAUUCUAAACAUCAUCUCGGUGAAGCUGUAUAAUUUAUAUAUAUAUAUAUAUAUAUAUAUAUAUAUUCAUAAGUUUGCAUGUAGAAAAUGUCACUAGCUAGAAUCAGACGCAGCUUUCUCAGCAUGGUACACAACUAGUGCUAGUUUUUGCUUUGAGUGAAAUGUAAAAGGGAGCAAAAAAUUUCUGGAAGUUUCUAUUUUGCUUCACAAGUGCAAUUGAAGAAAACUGUAGGAAUGCCGAAUGCGGAUAUAUAGCUUCAGCUGAGUAUACUCUGAAGGAUGGAGAGUAAGUUUCAUGUAAUAUAAGAGAAGCUGAGAAGGUUGUACAUGAUAACCCUAGCUAAUUGGCAGCCAAGUAUGAUAAAAAGAUGGUAAAAUCUGUUGGUCUAAUUCGAUGAAGCUAGAGGAUUGGUUUCUAUUAUUUUGUUUUGCUGGAUAGGAGGCCAAACAAAUUUUAUUAU